AAUAGAUACCCCGGUAGUCCACGCCGUAAACGAUGAGUGCUAAGUGUUAGGGGGUUUCCGCCCCGUUAGUGCUGCAGCUAACGCAUUAAGCACUCCGCCUGGGGAGUACGGUCGCAAGACUGAAACUCAAAGGAAUUGACGGGGGCCCGCGACAAGCGGUGGAGCAUGUGGUUUAAUUCGAAGCAACGCGAAGAACCUUACCAGGUCUUGACAUCCCAUUGACCACUAUGGAGACACAGUUUUCCCGUUCGGGGACAACGGUGACAGGUGGUGCAUGGUUGUCGUCAGCUCGUGUCGUGAGAUGUUGGGUUAAGUCCCGCAACGAGCGCAACCCUUGUUCUUAGUUGCCAUCAUUUAGUUGGGCACUCUAAGGAGACUGCCGGUGACAAACCGGAGGAAGGUGGGGAUGACGUCAAAUCAUCAUGCCCCUUAUGACCUGGGCUACACACGUGCUACAAUGGACGGUACAAACGGUUAGCCAACCCGCGAGGGGGAGCUAAUCCGAUAAAACCGUUACUCAGUUCGGAUUGUAGGCUGCAACUCGCCUACA
rnacentral:rRNA from 1 species